GAAAUGCGAUAAGUAAUGUGAAUUGCAGAAUUCAGUGAAUCAUCGAAUCUUUGAACGCACAUUGCGCCCGCCAGUAUUCUGGCGGGCAUGCCUGUCCGAGCGUCAUUUCAACCAUCAAGCCCCCGGGCUUGUGUUGGGGACCUGAGGCUGCCCGCAGGCCCUGAAAACCAGUGGCGGGCUCGCUGUCACACCGAGCGUAGUAGCAAUCACCUCGCUCAGGGCGUGCUGCGGGUUCCGGCCGUUAAACAGCCUUACAAAACCCAAGGUUGACCUCGGAUCAGGUAGGAAGACCCGCUGAACUUAAGC
rnacentral:misc_RNA from 1 species